GUGCCUAUCAUGCAAGUCGAACGAGUUCUCGUUGAUGAUCGGUGCUUGCACCGAGAUUCAACAUGGAACGAGUGGCGGACGGGUGAGUAACACGUGGGUAACCUGCCCUUAAGUGGGGGAUAACAUUUGGAAACAGAUGCUAAUACCGCAUAGAUCCAAGAACCGCAUGGUUCUUGGCUGAAAGAUGGCGUAAGCUAUCGCUUUUGGAUGGACCCGCGGCGUAUUAGCUAGUUGGUGAGGUAAUGGCUCACCAAGGCGAUGAUACGUAGCCGAACUGAGAGGUUGAUCGGCCACAUUGGGACUGGACACGGCCCAAACUCCUACGGGAGGCAGCAGUAGGGAAUCUUCCACAAUGGACGCAAGUCUGAUGGAGCAACGCCGCGUGAGUGAAGAAGGCUUUCGGGUCGUAAAACUCUGUUGUUGGAGAAGAAUGGUCGGCAGAGUAACUGUUGUCGGCGUGACGGUAUCCAACCAGAAAGCCACGGCUAACUACGUGCCAGCAGCCGCGGUAAUACGUAGGUGGCAAGCGUUAUCCGGAUUUAUUGGGCGUAAAGCGAGCGCAGGCGGUUUUUUAAGUCUGAUGUGAAAGCCCUCGGCUUAACCGAGGAAGCGCAUCGGAAACUGGGAAACUUGAGUGCAGAAGAGGACAGUGGAACUCCAUGUGUAGCGGUGAAAUGCGUAGAUAUAUGGAAGAACACCAGUGGCGAAGGCGGCUGUCUGGUCUGUAACUGACGCUGAGGCUCGAAAGCAUGGGUAGCGAACAGGAUUAGAUACCCUGGUAGUCCAUGCCGUAAACGAUGAAUGCUAGGUGUUGGAGGGUUUCCGCCCUUCAGUGCCGCAGCUAACGCAUUAAGCAUUCCGCCUGGGGAG
rnacentral:rRNA from 2 species